ACUUUACCACCCCAAUAGCUGCCAGGAAGUUUUAUGAUGCAUGUGACGAUAAGCAAUGGGAGUGUUUCAUGUCAAACAAGAUUCGUCAAAUAUAUUGUGCUAAACUCCAGGGCAUUAACGAGCUAGUGAAGCACUUCGAAAAAAUGGGGUUUCCAUGUGAAGAUUUUCAACCCUUGUGCUUCAACCCAGCACGUGAUGGUUCAAAGCAACCUGUUGAAGAAACUGUUGUAGGAAGAUGCAUAGGCUCUUGGUGUACUAACUCCAAAUCUUAAGUAGCUCAUGACAUGACAUGGUGAUGUUGGGGACAAACAGAACUACACAGUGUUGGUUUUUUAUUUUUUUUCAUUUAAACUCUUUUGUUCGUUCAGUUUCUGGUUAUGUUUUUGGUUUGACGAUGGGAACGAAGGGGUGGACUUUGUCACCUGGUUCUUGAUAUGGUAUAAUGAAAAAAGAAAGAACAGGUGGUGGGGUCCACCCUGGUAUGGGGUCUCACUGGUCGGCUCUUUGUUGUUGUGUCUCUCUGCAAUGUCAUUAGAUUAGAUUUUAUGGGAAAUUGCAGCUUUCGGUACUUCUCA